ACAUGGAACAACAGACUGGUUCCAAAUCGGGAAAGGAGGAUAUCAAGGCUGUAUAUCACCAUCCUGCUUCUUUAACCUAUAUGCAGAGUACAUUAUGAGAAAUGCCAGGCUGGAUGAAGCACAAGCUGGAAUCAAGAUUGCCAGGAGAAAUAUCAAUAACCUCAGAUAUGCAGAUGACAUCACCCUUAU